rnacentral:rRNA from 1 species
UACGGAGGGUGCGAGCGUUGUCCGGAAUCACUGGGCGUAAAGGGCGCGUAGGUGGCGCGACAAGUCAACGGUGAAAGCCCGGGGCUCAACCCCGGGUCGGCCGUCGAUACUGUUGGGCUUGAGCACUGUAGAGGCAGGUGGAAUUCCGGGUGUAGCGGUGGAAUGCGUAGAGAUCCGGAAGAACACCAGUGGCGAAGGCGCUCUGCUAGGCCGUAACUGACACUGAGGGACGAAAGCUAGGGGAGCGAAUGGG